GUGGCUGUGGCUUAGUGGAAGAACCUCUGCUUAGUGCACAGAAGGUCGCAGGUUCAAUCCCUGGCAUCUACA
rnacentral:tRNA from 1 species